rnacentral:lncRNA from 1 species
UGACCCUUCAAUCGCGGCUGCCUAUGAAGCUUACGACGAACUGAAAUGCAAGUACCGUGCAAAAAGAAGUAAGUUUGGGAGACGCAUACAUUCCACUUUCAUUCUAUCUGAUUAGUAAUUACUAGGAUAGCUAUGCACCUCUAACAAAAAACAGUGGUCAAUAAUGAAUGAAACAUCUCUAUUUUACUCAAGAUGAUAUGUAUUUGAAGUCUGAACACACUAGACUGAUUCACCAUUCUUUGCAUGCCAACGUGCAGAGCGCCAACAACAGCUUGUAACACUUGAUAUGUCUAUGCGUGCUUCGUGUAUGAUGAAUGCAAACUUGCUGACUGUUCGUGAUUCUGCAACAAAAACAGUCCUCGAAGCAGCUAAAGUUAUUUUUAGCUUUUCAUCCUAUGUUGGUAUGUAACACAUUGCCUUUAUUUAGCGUCUCUUUAUAGUUUUGGUUUUCCUCUUAUCUAUUGUUGCAUCUACAGAUGGUAAAUUCAUGGCACGAUCAUCUGGUUUUUUUAAUUGAUUGGGAUGAGGGGAGUAAAGUGGGCACUGUUUUGACAUCUGCGCGCAUAAUCUGCUCAAAAUAUACACCCCUAACCCAGUGGUCAGGUACAGACGAGUAUGUACCUGAUGCUGAGGUAUGUUUACAAAUGAAUAAGUUUGUGCUUACAUGUCUAUGCUAAAUUACACUUGUCUUAAUAUAUGUUUUUUUGUAUCUGUCUUUAGAUUAUUGCUCAUUUGUUGGAUGAAGAUGACACUACCAUACCUGCACUCUUGUUUCGCUAUGACAAGCACAUCAACAUGGCUUUGUUAAAGGUUAACAUAGACUUGUGUGCUAAGAUUCCUAGGUUCAGUAGUGACAUAAACUAUGGUCAGAAAAUACUUGUGCUUGGUAGAAAUGAAGGUUUAAAUCUGACAAUAGCUCAUGGAUGUGUUCAUUUCAUGGGUCCAACUACCUACGAACGUCAUCACUAUCUAAUCACUGGUUGUGAGGUAUAAAUAAUCUUUAUCAUGAUUAUCUCAUAAAUAAUUAUUAACUUAUGUUGCUUAGAGUUCUAAUGAUGGCAAUUUAAAUUUCUUAGCCUAGCAUAGGAGGAAUGGUUAUUGACUUUGACGGACACGUUUUGGGGAUGGCUAAUUUCCCCGGGACAGCAUAUAUUCCUUCCUCUAUUAUAUUAAAGUGCUUGGAUAUGUGGAACAAAUUUCAGUAAGUUUUUCUUUCGUUGGUACCAUUGUAAGAUUUCAGUCAUAAGAAAAUAUUUUGAGGAAACACGGUAGAUCUUGUGGUGUACUUGUGUUGAUAUAUUUCUUCUUAUAUUGCUAAGUCUAAUUUCUGUUGGAUAUUUUAGACACAAAGCUUCAUUCAUCAAAAUUGUUUUUUAAGUUAUAUGAUAUUGUUCAUAGUUUUAGUUUUUGGAAUUUGAUAAAAGACAAUGUCGCAAGGUGUAUCCCUCGCCUGCAUAUUGGGAUGAAGCUUUCAUCCAUUAAAUUUCUCGAUCCAAUUCGUGUCGAGAGGAUCUUUCGUAAGUGUAAUGUCGAUUCGGGUCUGAUAGUUGAAGAGGUAUAUGUUGUCCACUGUUCCUUGUUUUCUUGAACAAUGUUUACUAAAUGCUAUUGAGUAAUGCAUGACAAAUUGAACUGUAGGUGUCCCACGGAUCGAUUGCUGAAGAACUAGGAGUUAGACUUGGUGAUGUCAUUGACUCCAUGAAUAGAGAGUGCGUUGCUACCACAGUUGAGGUAAUUAUUGUUAACAGUAAUAGCAAUAAAUGUGUUAUGUUGUUUCAUGAGUAAAGUGGAUAGAAAAAACUCACAUCUCAUGUUUAUGGUCUUCUUAAUAACUCACAUUUAUUAUUCGUGUUUCUGUUAUCAGUUGGAGAACUUAAUUAUGAGGAUAUGUGAGAAUCAUCUUGACCAAGGAGGAGCCAUCGGUUCCAGCGUCGACAUUCGAGUAUGUUUAUUUAUACGAUGUUUAACUGCAGUUUACUUUUAUAUCUGCUAUUAAUGCCCUUAUGUUUAUCCAUAGUUACAAGCUAAAACUAUGAUCAUACGAAGACAUCUAUAUACUAUAUAAAAUGCAGUAGUUCUCAUGUAAAUCAAUUAAAAACAGAUUAUUCUAAUUUUGUUCAGGUUAGUGUUUACUUACUCUUUUAUUUAAGCUAGGAAUCCAUUUUUCCAUUAUAGAUGAAUGGAAAAUGAGAUAUAAUAUACUUCCUCUGUCCCAAAAUAAAUGUCUCAACUUUGUACUAGCUUUAGUACAAAAUUGUAUCAAGCUUAAGACACUUAUUUUGGGACGGAGGGAGUAGGUAGCAGAUGGAAAUAUAGCUCAGAAGCCAGAGAAACUGCGAAAGUAAGGCAAACAGAAUUAGCUAACUCAACUAGUCUACAAAAGGUAGCCUAGAAGAGACACUUGAAAAAUAAAUCAGAGAAAAGAGAUUACUGGACAUAAAAAACACAUCCUUUUCCUCCAAAUGUCUCUCAUGUCUCAUCUUGCUAUUCUCCUUUUUUGCAUCUGUAGCUGCCCUUGCGCGGGCAUAUGUCAGGAGCUUGAAGAAGUACAUUAGCAGAAACAUGUUGACUAGCAGCAUAGUUCCGGUGAGACUGGCUCCGUCUUGAUGCGGACGCCACCCGGCACGGCGUCAUGUGGCCACACGCCCUGCUGCGCGCCGUCAUGGGCGCCUCUGGGUGGGCGUCGUGUGCGCCUGGUAGCCUGGUACGAGUCCUGGUGCCUGCCGUUCGCGCCCUGGACAACACCGUGCGCAUCCAGGACCUCCUCGACGUUGCGCCCGUUCUAGAACACCCGCCGCGCCUGGCUGUUGUGCUGGUACGGCGGGACGUUGUCGGCGUAGCGGUUGAGCAGUUCGUGCUGCUGCUCGGAGAGGAUGUCAUGCCAGAGGGGGUUGGCGACGCCAUACUCCAGCAUCGCCCUCGCUUCCGGCAUGAGGCCCGCGCAGAAAGAGGUGGACGGCACGGUUGAACGCCGGUGUGCCAACGGGCGGGACUGACGCCACAGAGCCACCGCCCAGGUUGUGCUUCCAGCCCUUCGGGAGCCACAUGUCCGGCGGCAUGAAGAUGUCCAGCCGCGCCAACUCAUCUGCCUCAACGACGUGGAGGCUGCGCUCGGGCCAGCUGCUGCUGCCUCGCGGUCGUGGUGAGGCAUCACGACGGUGUGCGAGGAGGAGAGGGGUAUUGGCCGUCAGGAGGGCGAGGAGAGUGCGGCGGCAGGAGCGAGUUGUGUGCGACAGUGAUGGAGAGGGGAGGGCCAUUUGUAGGCAGGGUUGGUGGCCUAGGGGUGAUCGGCGUUAUGCUACCAUUAGAGCAUGGUUAAUAGUAUAGCCAACUGAUGGCUAUAAGUCAUCUUAUAGCUUAUCUUAUAACUAGCUUGUACAAUAGUUAGCUACAAAAGAGUACUAUUUUUAUCAUAUAUGGCCCAUCUUUCAUUCUCACAAAGCACCUAAGAGCAUGUGCUAGAACUAGUUCUUCACGAAGAACCCGCUUCCUUUCUCUCUUCUCUUCUCUCUCAUCCAACUCAACGAAAAUAUAAUAUUAUAAUCCUUACAGCCUGCUGACUGUACCUUAUUGUACUUGCUCUUAAUGGCUAGCGACAUCGGAAUCCGCCCGGCCACGCAGCGGCGGUGUUGCAUGUGAACAAACGCAUAGAGUCAAAGGCUGGCUGGAGUAAUUACGCCGCGUGAAUACUUGGGGCGUAUAGGCAUGGCGCACGGCUUUGGUGCCACCCCGUGACCUGCGACGAGAAUGGCCACAUGGCGUGGUUGUACGCCAUGCGGACUGCAAGCACACUCGGCUUUGGCCCGUGUAUGUCGAGCGGAUUUUGGGCCGUGUCAUGGCAUAUGUGACGGUACUCCAAGACACAACGUUUCACCGUGCACCCUAGCGGUGACACACGGCUUAGAGGGUGAUAAUCCAAGUGUCCGAUAGAAAACGCUCGGCAUAUCGAGAAGCACAAGACGAAAUGUGAUUUUCCUGUAGUGGUUUAGUUCAAAACUGCUACUACUUUUAUGCGAACGUGUGCCUCAUUAAUGAUUUCUUCGCCAUUUUCAGAUUUAGUAUUCUUUCUCUUGGAAAAAGUCCAAAACAUACCUUGAAGUGAUAGACAAAAGCUAAAUCAAACCCUGAACUUUGAAUCCCGGAAAUUGACACUCUGAACUUGUAAUCUCGGUCUAUUUUAGACCUUAGAUCUGUUUGGCAUUUCGGGAAUACUACAAUCCUGACCGGGAUUACAUACUCCGGGAUGAGAAUUUGGGCCAGCCCACUUUACCAGAACAAGAAUUCAUGAAGUUUAAUUUUUUUGACAAAUUACUAAAAUUGUCCAGAAGUUAAAAAAUGUUGUUUUUUUUGGCAGAACUAAAUUCCUUUUUUUUUAAGUUUAGAAUUUUCAAAUUCUAUUCACAUUUUUUAAAACUGUUUGUGAUAUAAAAAAACCACAUUUGUCAAAAAACUUCACACUUCCAACAGUUUUUCACAUGCUACAAAAAAUGAUGCGGAUUUUCCAAAAUUGUGUCACAUUUUUCAAAUAAUGUUUUUGCAAUUUUGUAAAUUAUUUGUGUUUUGGAAAAAACUGAAGCAAUGAACUUCGAAUUUAUUUUUUGGGCAAACAAAUAUUCAAAAUGUAAACUAUUUCGGAAUGUCCGAACAUCUUUUAGAGUGUGAGAACUUUUUGAAAAUUCUGAAUACUUUCAAAAAAGCUAUUGUUUUACGUGCCAAAAAUUCUGAAUACUCCAGCAUCGUCCUCGCCUCCGGCAUGAGGCCCGCGCAGAAAGAGGUGGACGGCACGGUUGAACGCCGGUGUGCCUACGGGCGGGACUGACGCCACCGAGCCACCGCCCAGGUUGUGCUUCCAGCCCUUCGGGAGCCACAUGUCCGGCGGCACGAAGAUGUCCAGCCACGCCAACUCCUCUGCCUCGACGACGUGGAGGAUGCGCUUGGGCCAGCUGCUGCUGCCUCGCGGUCGUGGUGAGGCAUCACGACGGUGUGCGAGGAGGAGAGGGGUAUUGGCCGUCAGGAGGGCGAGGAGAGUGCGGCGGCAGGAGUGAGUUGUGUGCGACAGUGAUGGAGAGUGGAGGGCCAUUUGUAGGCAGGGUUGGUGGCCUAGGGGUGACCGGCGUUAUGCUACCAUUAAUGGCUAGCGGCAUCGGAAUCCGCCCGCCCACGCAGCGGCGGUGUUGCGUGUGAGCAAACGCAUAGAGUCAAAGGCGGGCUGGAGUAAUUACGCCGCGUGAAUACUUGGGGCGUAUAGGCGUGGCGCACGGCUUUGAUGCCACCCCGUCAUGGCACCGUGACCUGCGAUGAGCAUGGCCACAUGGCGUGGUUGUACGUCGUGCGGACUGCAAGCACACUCGGCUUUGGCCCGUGUAUGCCGAGCGGAUUUUGGGCCGUGUCAUGGCAUAUGUGACGGUACGCCAAGACACAACGUUUCACCGUGCACCCUAGCGGUGACACACGGCUUAGAGGAUGAUGAUCCAAGUGUCCGAUAGAAAACGCUCGGCAUAUCGAGAAGCACAAGACGAAAUGUGAUUUUCCUGUAGUGGUUUAGUUCAAAACUGCUAUCAUUUUUAUGCGAACGUGUGCCUCAUUAACGAUUUCUUCGCCAUUUUCAGAUUUAGUAUUCUUUCUCUUUCAACUACCGUCUAACGUUAGCUAUCCUAUGAAAAUACUCUACGCUGUUAUCACCUUUCAACAGUCUUACUUUUUUUUUGGUACUAGCAUAAUUCUUCUUCGAGAGAAUUUUAAAUAACUAUUACUUUUCUAGCUAAAUCCCCCCUCCCCCAUCACCACUAGCAUUGGGUACCGUAUGGUCCUCAUGUGGGUUCAGCCGCAGUCUGUGCACCACAUCCUGGGGGGUUUCUAGACCUAGUUACAAUGCCAUAUGUCAUCUUAAUUCGCCGUCGAGUAUUUAAAAAACCCAACUCAAUCCUUGAAACUAUUCUGUAUGUAAUCUCCUUUAUCUGUAUUUUACCAAUAUCAGUAAUAUCUUAACCUGGCUAGCUUGUGCCAAGCUCCCUUAACUAGUCUUGAAAAUCAGGAUGUUUGAGCCAAUGCAGCUCAGAUGUGAAUUUAGGUAGACUGUUAUCACAGAGAUCUAUUGUUCAUUUUCCAUUUCUACAUGCAUGCUUCCAAUCUUUGUUUAAUAUACUUUUUUACCCUUUAAACUUUGUGAUUUAGGGGUACAGAAGACCCUGAAUCCUCUUCCUUCUUGAAACAUUUGAAUCAUAUUUUAUUCUACUAGCACACCUUUUUCUGUUAACUCAAAGGAAUAAACUUUGUUGCAAGCUUUUUAAACUAUUUCGAUGGCUUAGUGAAAUCUGACCAGAGUCAUCUCUUAUAUUAGCACCCAUACAUCUAGCUUUUCUCAUGAUAUCUCUAUUUGGCAAAGUUUCAAAGGAAUUGGAAUGUUUAGUUGUACCUUUCAAAUUUCUCUUCCUUGUCAGUCUUUCAGCUUUAACUCGUCUUGUGACUGGGAAGGCUCUUGGUCCUUCUAGGUUGCUCAACAUGGAGUUCUUUUUCUACCUUUUGUGUUUCACCACCUUUUAUCCAUCAUUUUUGAAGCUUCAUCGUUUACUUCAGUAUUGUUAAGAUCACCUUUCUAUGGUAUGAUCAUACCUUCUUCAUUAGGCUUUCUGUUUUGCAUGUCGUCUGCGUAUGGUUCAUGACUAGCAGCUCCAAUUGUAUCACCACCAUCUUUAUCAUUUGAAUCUUUUCAAUUUACAGGUUGGUAUCUUGCACACGCGGAAAGGUCGCAAACGUCCGAGGCGCACUUUAAGUAUGAGAUUAAAUGUAUCUGAUGACGUAGAGGUGUUCAAGAGUGGUAUGCAUCCCUUCAGUUACUAUGAAGCUUCUAGUAAAAUGCAUAUAUGGAUUUGGGGCUCGGGACUGAUAUGGUUAUGUGUUACUCCCUCUAAACAAAUAGAAGAGCAUUUAGAUCACUAUUUUAUGAUCUAAACGCUCUUAUAUUUGUUUACGGAGGGAGUACUUUAUUUAUGUUUGUAUAUGUUUGCACGUGUGCUUCCCUAUGUUCAUUUCUAUACGAGAUACAUGUCUUAACAAUGAAAUUCUGCUGUCCAGAUUUCUGACUCGUCUCUGAAACGGACUGUGCCUAGUCGUUUGAUGAAGGUACUUUUAACUUUCCCCCGUUUAUUACUUACUAGCGCCGAAAAGCACGGCGCACGCCGCGCCCGUUCUAAUGCCCGUUUAAAUUUUGAUUUCUUCAGUGUGCACUACCCACAGGUGUGGAAUGAUACAAAAAUGUAAAGUAUGCACGACAACCACUCGUUAUACUCACAUGGAGCACUGAGUUUGAUAACAGUUCUAUGUUAAAAACAUUUGCCAUGUAAUAAAUUGUCAUUUUUUCUGUUCAGUUCUGUUAGCAAUCAUCUUAAGAUGUGAACCUCUAUUUUCUACUCUGAUCAUCAACUACGAAGCAGAGAGAAGGAGCAGACAUUUUUAUAUUUCUAAGAAGAUCAUCCCAUUCGCAAGUCCAGUUUUGAAUCGCUUUAGAAGUUUUAGCAGAACAUAAGUUUAGAUUUACUUAAUGUGGCAGAGCUAACACCUAUUAUUCUGGCCGAAACAUGGUUGGCACAGUAAGAAUUCUCAUAAGUCAAAUUAGGAGGGACGGGGACCAAAAUGUGCAAAUAAUAAUAGCAUAACAACUAACGUGACAGUGGAAGCGUAUAACUCAUCGUCUCGUCGUUCCUUGAAAAUAUUUCUAUCUAGUGCAUAAUACUAAUCAGUAUAUACCUAAUCUUGUAGGAGGAAUUAAAGGUUGUAGUUCUAAUGGAAGUUGUGUAGCAUUUGUCGUGUUGAUCUCAAGUUCAAUUCAAAUUGAGCAGCUCCAAUGUGGGCAUUGCCGGUGCUUCGCCUCCUUGGACCUUAAGCGAGAGGCUCCAGAUUCUCUUGGGGACGGGUAGGGCAGAUUGUAUGGAAUAGCAAGAUUAUAGUUCAACUUCUAAAUUCACCUUUAACUCUCUGGAACAGAAGAAUAUACUUCAUCUUCUUUAUACAUCAACACCAUUUUUUAACCAAGUUCCAAAGAAGGGUUAGGAUCUUUAAUCAUCAGCAUCCCUCACAAUGAAUCAGUCUAUAGUUCUUCUAAAUUAUACCCUAGAAACUGCUCCCCAGCGAUGGUAUAUCUGAAUUUCCAUUGCACUUGGAGCAACAAACUUACGGGAUCUCGUGGGAGGUACCAUAUGGUUCAUACAUAACACCUAAUUACCUAUAACAUAUAACUGCAAUAUAAAGACCCAAUUAAAAUAUGGGAGUCAUGUGCAAACUUACAAAUGAAACUACCUGAAAGAAAGAACAUAACGUGUUCAUAAUAGUUGUUUUGAAAAAAAUAAGCAAGGAAGGAACUGAGCUUCAAAUAAAAGAACAGCAAAGGGGGAAACAACUAACCUGCGAAGUUAUUUCGAACACAACAUUAACUUGAUUCAAAUAAGAGUGGACGAAAUGCAUAAUACAGAGAAUACUUGCAUUCAUCCCAGAAAUAAUGUCUGGAUUGGCAUAAAAAAAUAUAUAGGAAAUUGAUGAGCAAAUCAGAAACAACAUGACUGAUAAUACCUUUUUGCAUUGUAUGGAUUGUUGGAACUAUCCACUAUUAUUAAUUGUAUGUACUUGGUAUCUCUACUGCCUACUGUCUGGUGGAGCACGGAUAGGAGGGAAUCAGAAGAGAGAAGGGCGCUGCAGCGAUUGGAAAUAGUCAGGGAAGAUGUCUAGCAUCGGAUGAGACUUGUCCAUGGUGUUCUGGAGCAGCGGCGACAACCCUCCACCCACUGUUGGUCUGCACCAUAGGCGCCUCCGGCCUAGGGUUUGCGGCUGCGACCCCUUGUGGCCAGUACACAUCAAAGUGGGGGGAGAUGAGGGAAGGGAAGCGGCAGAGAGAGCGGGAGCUGUGGCAGCGGCACCAUCACACGCGGACGAAGAUAGCGUCAUCCUGUUGUCUCGUUCGUUGAUGUCUUUGUCGUGCUGCCGCCGCGCUUGCCAGCUCCCGCUAGAGAGAUGGGAGAUCCAGGCCGAGGGCCGCUUCGACAGCAGUUGAGAUGGCGAGGCGAGGUGGGCGGGGAUGGACAGCCGGUGGCGGAUGGCGGCCAAGAAUGGUGGGCGCAGGCGGCGAGGGGUGGAUCGGUGCGGGCCGUCUCUUUCUCUGGAACAACGAAAAAGAGGGUCGAGCGAGCGACGGUGUGCAGAGCCCGACUCAAGAUAUUAUGGUGGGCCUUAAGCGGUAAA